UACGUAGGGGGGCGAGCGUUGUCCGGAUUUAUUGGGCGUAAAGGGCGCGUAGGCGGCCCGCUAAGUCGAACGUGAAAUCCCCGAGCUCAACUCGGGAACUGCGUCCGAUACUGGUGGGCUUGAAUCCGGGAGAGGGAUGCGGAAUUCCAGGUGUAGCGGUGAAAUGCGUAGAUAUCUGGAGGAACACCGGUGGCGAAGGCGGCAUCCUGGACCGGCAUUGACGCUGAGGCGCGAAAGCUAGGGGAGCAAACGGG
rnacentral:rRNA from 1 species